CGAUACAUUCGGCUGCAGCGGCAAAGGGCCAUCCUCUAUAAGUGGCUUAAAGUUCCUCCUGCCAUUAACCAGUUCACCCAGAGACAAAGCAGGAGAAGAAGCAAAGACUGUUGGCCCGUGCUGAGAAGAAGGCUGCUGGCAAAGGGGAUGUCCCAACUAAGAGGCCACCUGUUCUUCGAGCAGGAGUCAACACAGUCACCACCUUGGUGGAGAACAAGAAGGCUCAGCUGGUGGUAAUCGCCCACGAUGUAGACCCCAUUGAGCUGGUAGUCUUCCUGGAAGACUGGAAGCUGGAAGCUGGGGGUCCCCUACUGCAUCAUCAAGGGAAAAGCCAGGCUGGGACGACUGGUCCACAGGAAAACAUGUACCACCAUUGCCUUCACACAGGUUAACUCGGAAGACAAGGGUGCUCUGGCUAAGCUGGUGGAAGCUAUUAGGACCAAUUACAAUGACAGAUAUGAUGAGAUGUGACGCCACUGGGGGGCAAUGUCCUGGGUCCUAAAUCUGUGGCUCGAAUUGCCAAGCUGGAAAAGGCAAAGGCUAAAGAACUCGCUAUUAAACUGGGUUAAAUGUACACUCACCGCUAAGUUUUCUGUACAUAAAUACAAACAUAUCUUCCAAAAAAAAAAAAGAUUUAAAACACUGGAGCUAAAUAGUGGCACUUACACCCUGGCAGUAACUAACAGCUAUCUAGAUGUACUCAAGGCCUGCUCAACAGGAAGGAAGCAGUGCUUGGUACUGGAAACCUAGCCAGCUAGAGGCUAGUGGGGUCACGGAUCUUAAUGAGAACCUACUACCCUCACUUACUAAACUCACCUAAUGCUAUGUGCAUUCUGAAUACUUACCUAUAUGCCCACAGAUGAAUGCAGCUCCCAACUCUCAUCCAAGCAGCUUGUCUUUGCAACAGACAGGGAUCAUUACAGAAAAGCACAACUGGUCCAAAUGCAGAGAAUAACUGAUAUGGGGUGUCCAGCCUCGGUGGAUACAUUUGCAACACAACUUCUGCACUUAAGGCUCAGGAAACAAUGCAG
rnacentral:lncRNA from 1 species